rnacentral:tRNA from 1 species
ACUAUUUUGACAGAAAUUUAUGUGAUAAAUUUAGAAUUUAUAAAUGUAUAAUUAUUAUACAAAUAGUA